GACGAACGCUGGCGGCGUGCCUAAUACAUGCAAGUCGAACGCAGUGGGGACGGGUGAGUAACACGUGGGUAACCUCCCAUCAGAGGGGAUAACACUUGGAAACAGGUGCUAAACCGAUACUGAUGGAUGGACCCGCGGUGCAUUAGCUAGUGGGCGAGGUAACGGCUCACCAAGGCCACGAUGCACAGCAGGGCUGGAAGGGUGAUGGGCAAAACUGGGAGUGGGACCCGGCCCAGACUCCUACGGGAGGCAGCAGUAGGGAAUCUUCGGAAAUGGACGAAAGCCUGACCGAGCAACGCCGCGUGAGUGAAGAAGGUUUUCGGAUCGUAAAACUCUUUUGUUAGGGAAGCGGUAUCUAACCAGAAAGCCACGGCUAACUACGUGCCAGCAGCCGCGGUAAUAC
rnacentral:rRNA from 1 species